UACGUAGGUGGCAAGCGUUGUCCGGAUUUACUGGGCGUAAAGAGCGCGCAGGCGGUCAGAUAAGUCGAAUGUGAAAGCCCCCGGCUCAACUGGGGAGGGUCAUUCGAUACUGUUCGACUCGAAGGCAGGAGAGGGAAGUGGAAUUCCCGGUGUAGUGGUGAAAUGCGUAGAUAUCGGGAGGAACACCAGUGGCGAAGGCGGUUGCCUGGAGCUUUGCUGACGCUGAGGCGCGAAAGCUAGGGAGCAACAGGG
rnacentral:rRNA from 1 species